rnacentral:rRNA from 1 species
UAGUCCACGCCGUAAACGAUGAAUACUAGGUGUAGGGGUUGUCAUGACCUCUGUGCCGCCGCUAACGCAUUAAGUAUUCCGCCUGGGGAGUACGGUCGCAAGAUUAAAACUCAAAGGAAUUGACGGGGGCCCGCACAAGCAGCGGAGCAUGUGGUUUAAUUCGAAGCAACGCGAAGAACCUUACCUAGACUUGACAUCUCCUGCAUUACCCUUAAUCGGGGAAGUCGCUUCGGCGACAGGAAGACAGGUGGUGCAUGGUUGUCGUCAGCUCGUGUCGUGAGAUGUUGGGUUAAGUCCCGCAACGAGCGCAACCUUAUCGUUAGUUGCUACCAUUUAGUUGAGCACUCUAGCGAGACCUGGCCCUGGGACUUGAAGACCGGGGAGGGAAGGUUGGGGCAAUGUAACCGUCAAAUCACUUGUCAGUGCCCCUUAUGUUUAGGGCUCACAACGUGCCUACAAAUUGGGCGAAGUACAAAAGAGAAGCAAGACCGCGAGGUGGAGCAAAACUCAAAAACUUGUCUCAGUUCGGAUUGUAGGCUGGAACUCGCCUACAUGAAGCUGGAGUUGCUAGUAAUCGCGAAUCAGCAUGUCGCGGUGAAUACGUUCCCGGGCCUUGUACACACCGCCCGUCACACCAUGAGAGUUGGCAAUACCCAAAGUGCGUGAUCUAACUCGCAAGAGAGGAAGCGCCCUAAGGUAGGGGUCAGCGAUUGGGGUGAAGUCGUAACAAGGUAGCCGUAGGAGAACC